GAACGCACAUUGCGCCCGCCAGUAUUCUGGCGGGCAUGCCUGUUCGAGCGUCAUUUCAACCCUCAAGCCCCCGGGCUUGGUGUUGGGGAUCGGCGUGCCCUCGCGGCGCGCCGUCCCCUAAAUCUAGUGGCGGUCUCGCUGUAGCUUCCUCUGCGUAGUAGCAACACUCGCACUGGAUCGCAGCGCGGCCACGCCGUUAAACCCCCCACUUCUGAAAGUUUGACCUCGGAUCAGGUAGGAAUACCCGCUGAACUUA
rnacentral:misc_RNA from 1 species